rnacentral:pre_miRNA from 1 species
CAACUACUCCCUCCGUUCCAAAUUACUUGUCGCACGUAUGGAUGUAUUUUAGUUAUAGAUACAUCCAUUUCAGCGACGAGUAAUUCGGAACGGAGGGAGUACAAG